rnacentral:rRNA from 1 species
CCUACGGGGAGCAGCAGUCGAGAAUCAUUCACAAUGGGGGAAACCCUGAUGGUGCGACGCCGCGUGGGGGAAUGAAGGUCUUCGGAUUGUAAACCCCUGUCAUGUGGGAGCAAAUUAAAAAGAUAGUACCACAAGAGGAAGAGACGGCUAACUCUGUGCCAGCAGCCGCGGUAAUACAGAGGUCUCAAGCGUUGUUCGGAAUCACUGGGCGUAAGGCGUGCGUAGGCUGUUUCGUAAGUCGUGUGUGAAAGGCGCGGGCUCAACCCGCGGACGGCACAUGAUACUGCGAGACUAGAGUAAUGGAGGGGGAACCGGAAUUCUCGGUGUAGCAGUGAAAUGCGUAGAGAUCGAGAGGAACACUCGUGGCGAAGGCGGGUUCCUGGACAUUAACUGACGCUGAGGCACGAAGGCCAGGGGAGCGAAAGGGAUUAGAUACCCGUGUAGUC